rnacentral:rRNA from 1 species
AUUGAACGCUGGCGGCAUGCCUUACACAUGCAAGUCGAACGGUAACGGGCCUUCGGGUGCCGACGAGUGGCGAACGGGUGAGUAAUGUAUCGGAACGUACCUUUCAGUGGGGGAUAACGUAGCGAAAGUUACGCUAAUACCGCAUAUUCUGUGCGCAGGAAAGCAGGGGAUCGCAAGACCUUGCGCUGAUUGAGCGGCCGAUAUCAGAUUAGCUAGUUGGUGAGGUAAAGGCUCACCAAGGCGACGAUCUGUAGCGGGUCUGAGAGGAUGAUCCGCCACACUGGAACUGAGACACGGUCCAGACUCCUACGGGAGGCAGCAGUGGGGAAUUUUGGACAAUAGGGGCAACCCUGAUCCAGCCAUGCCGCGUGAGUGAAGAAGGCCUUCGGGUUGUAAAGCUCUUUCGGCCGGGAAGAGAUCGUAUCAGCUAAUACCUGGUGCGGAUGACGGUACCGGCAUAAGAAGCACCGGCUAACUACGUGCCAGCCGCCGCCGUAACAC